rnacentral:rRNA from 1 species
GAUGAACGCUGGCGGCGUGCCUAAUACAUGCAAGUCGAGCGAACAGACGAGGAGCUUACUCCUCUGACGUUAGCGGCGGACGGGUGAGUAACACGUGGAUAACCUACCUAUAAGACUGGGAUAACUUCGGGAAACCGGAGCUAAUACCGGAUAACAUGUUGAACCGCAUGGUUCAACAGUGAAAGACGGUCUUGCUGUCACUUAUAGAUGGAUCCGCGUCGCAUUAGCUAGUUGGUAAGGUAACGGCUUACCAAGGCAACGAUGCGUAGCCGACCUGAGAGGGUGAUCGGCCACACGGGAACUGAGACACGGUCCAGACUCCUACGGGAGGCAGCAGUAGGGAAUCUUCCGCAAUGGGCGAAAGCCUGACGGAGCAACGCCGCGUGAGUGAAGAAGGUCUUCGGAUCGUAAAACUCUGUUAUUAGGGAAGAACAAAUGUGUAAGUAACUAUGCACGUCUUGACGGUACCUAAUCAGAAAGCCACGGCUAACUACGUG